GUGGCGGACGGGUGAGUAAUAUAUCGGAACGUGCCCAGUAGCGGGGGAUAACUACUCGAAAGAGUGGCUAAUACCGCAUACGCCCUACGGGGGAAAGGGGGGGAUCGCAAGACCUCUCACUAUUGGAGCGGCCGAUAUCGGAUUAGCUAGUUUGGGGUAAAGGCUCACCAAGGCAACGAUCCGUAGCUGGUUUGAGAGGACGACCAGCCACACUGGGACUGAGACACGGCCCAGACUCAUACGGGAGGCAGCAGUGGGGAAUUUUGGACAAUGGGGGAAACCCUGAUCCAGCCAUCCCGCGUGUAUGAUGAAGGCCUUCGGGUUGUAAAGUACUUUUGGCAGAGAAGAAAAGGUACCUCCUAAUACGAGGUACUGCUGACGGUAUCUGCAGAAUAAGCACCGGCUAACUACGUGCCAGCAGCCGCGGUAAUACGUAGGGUGCAAGCGUUAAUCGGAAUUACUGGGCGUAAAGCGUGUGUAGGCGGUUCGGAAAGAAAGAUGUGAAAUCCCAGGGCUCAACCUUGGAACUGCAUUUUUAACUGCCGAGCUAGAGUAUGUCAGAGGGGGGUAGUUCCACGUGUAGCAGUGAAAUGCGUAGAUAUGUGGAGGAAUACCGAUGGCGAAGGCAGCCCCCUGGGAUAAUACUGACGCUCAGACACGAAAGCGUGGGGAGCAAACAGGAUUAGAUACCCUGGUAGUCCACGCCCUAAACGAUGUCAACUAGCUGUUGGGGCCGUUAGGCCUUAGUAGCGCAGCUAACGCGUGAAGUUGACCGCCUGGGGAGUACGGUCGCAAUAAAACUCAAAGGAAUUGACGGGGACCCGCACAAGCGGUGGAUGAUGUGGAUUAAUUCGAUGCAACGCGAAAAACCUUACCUACCCUUGACAUGUCUGGAAAGCCGAAGAGAUUUGGCCGUGCUCGCAAGAGAACCGGGAACACUGGUGCUG
rnacentral:rRNA from 1 species